rnacentral:lncRNA from 1 species
AGACGGCCAGAAUCCGUCCCUAAAUCCGUCUCUAAAGGUCUGUUUUCUUGUAGUGUAUGUUAUAGCCUUUUCUUUGGAAUGAAUAUCCAAGGAAUAUUCCUUUAAUGGACCUGUCCUCAAAUUUUGUUUUUAUUUUGUUGUUUGUGACAUAACAUAGGCAACCAAAUACUAUGAGGAUGGAGAGGUUCGGUUGUUCUUUGAAUAACCUAUAAUAUAGGGUAUAAUUAUCUAAUACAACAGUUGGAGUUCUGUUUAUUAUGAAAACAAUUGUUAGGAUGCAUUCUCUUCAAAUUUUUAGAGGAAUGUUGGACUGGAUCAUAAGUGAACUGGCCACUUGUAGUAUGUGUUGGUGUUUUCUUUCAACUCUUCCAUUUUGUUGAGGGGUGUAAGGACAUGAUAAUUGGUGUAUUAUGCCAUUUGUUUUUAAAAUGUUAUGAAAUUUUUUGGAUAAGAAUUUUGUUCCAUUAUCUGUCCUUAUAGUAUGAAUGUUUGUUUGAUUUUGAUUUUGAUUUUUAACAUUGAUUAUAAAUUGUUUAAAUUUACUUAGUGCUUCAUAUUUGUUUAUCAUUAAAAAAGCCCAAGUAGCCCUUGAGUAGUCAUCUACUAUAGUUAGGAAGUAGUUGUUCCUUUGAUGUGUGGAUAUGUGGAAUUUUACCCAAAUAUCUAAAUGAAUUAACAGAAAACAUUUAGUAGUUCUAAAAGGUAGUCUAAUCUAUUUGGACAGAGGACAUGUACGUAUUAAAAAAAUUUGUAAAAAAUUUCGAGUAUACAAUUGUUCAAUAAGAUCAAAUGAUAAAAUCUAGAAGGGGCAUGGUGCCCUAAUAUUUGAUGCCAAAUUUCCUCAUCCUUUGAUUCCUUCUGUUGGCUAUGAUUGGUCUGAGAUUUCAGCUUUAGGAUGUAUAAUCCAUCUUUCUUCUCACCAUCACAAUCUGGUUUCCCUGCUGACCAUGUAUGGAACAGAAAGUAUGGUGGAAGAUGAAUGAGCAAUUCAGGUCUUUUGUUAAUUGACUUACAAAUAGUAAGUUAACUGAAAAGGAUGGUAUUUUUAAGACAUUGUGUAGCAUAAUGUCUUUUGAUAUGGAUAUGGAACCACUUGAGGAUACUCUGGUGGCUUGGGAGUUUGGAAGAUGAAUGUUUAUUAGAUAUAAUAAUGUUUUAACAUCAUGUAGAGGGGUAUUAGGGGAACACAUGUGAUCUGUUGCCCCUGUGUCAAUGAUCCAUUGAUCAUUUUGUGAUUGGGUGUGUGAUAUGGUAUAUAAGUUAAGUGAGUAAUGAAAACAUGUGUUAUUUUUUGGGUAGAGUUUACCAGAUGCCUGAGCUUUCAAAUGCCAUGUGAGCUUGACUUUGAUUCCCUUUGGAGAAUCUUCCAAAUAUGGAGAUGAGCUCUUCUCUGGUGAUGAAUUUGUUUUCAGUUAUCUUAUCUUCAUUUGAAUAAUAUGUUAUUAUUAUUGCCUGGUAUUUCCCUUUGUAUCCUUUGUUAGGCUUUCCAUUAAAGCCUUUCUUUCCAUUGUAUUUUGGUAUAUUGUCCUUCUUUUUGUUGAAGUCUACUCCAUGGAGUCCAUGUCCUGGUGGAAAACCAUGUUCAUAAAAACAUGUGUUCAGACUGUGGUUGUGUUUCUUGCAUCUUGUGCAAUAUGGCUUAGAGUCUUCACUCUGAGUCUGUGUUUUUGCCUGAGGUCAAAAUUUUUGGAUUAUGUCACCAUAAUACUACCUUCCUCAGAAUAGAUGUAUUCUCUCUGAGUUUCUUCUUGUAAAACCAUCCUGAAUGCAUCAUCCACUAAGGGUGGUGUCUUUUUCUUCAAUAUCUUCCCUCUGAUUGGCAGAAAAGUGUCUUUAGACCAGUUGUAAAACUGAUCAGUCUUUCUAUAUUUUCAUUUGCUAUGCAAUUUGGGUUGUCACAGUAUUCAAAAAUUUGAUUGUUAUCUAACUCAUUCCAGAGUCCCUGCAGCCUGACAUAAUAAUUGCUCACAGAUUCACUACCUUGAGUGCAUAGUACAAUCUGCCUCUUGAGUUGUGAGAUAACCAAAGAGUUGGCUCUACUAUAUUUCUAUUUUAAAUUUCCCACAGAGUAGUGGCAUCUUUUAUAAAGAUUGCACUGCCUCUGAUCUCCUUGGAGCAGUUAUUCAAUAUCCAUGCAGUGACCAAGUCAUUGCAUCUGAUCCAAAGGAUGGUGUAGUUGUCUUUUUCAUUUGUUGGUCUCUUGAUGGAUCCAUUUAAGAAUCCCAGCUUGUUUUUUGUUGAAAGGGCUAUUUGAAUUUCAACUACCCAUGUUUGGUAUUUUGGACCAGUGAGGGGAGUUACAACGAAACUUGGGCUUUGGUUGUCACUGCCUGAAAUAUAGUAUCGACUGCCAUCUUUAAUUGUGUACUCAUUAUUCUUUGUCAUUACAGGCAGGUCUGAGAGGAGACUGAGAAGGUACACCAGAGAUCUCAGGAGUAUGAGAGAAUUGAGGAGGCAAGGGAUGAAUGUUGAAGCCCUUGACUACUUUGGUGAUGUUGAAGAUCCUCUUUCUUCUUUUGAUUAAGAGAUGGAAGAAGAUCUUGUGUUUGGUAUUCCAAGGAGUAUGCUUGGAGUUGUUAGAAGUGUGGUGGAUGAGAUGUGGGCUGGUGAUGUUUAUGAACCCGAUGAGUAUGAUAGUGAUGAUAAUGAUUUUACUGUGUGGAGUGACCCUGAGGAGGGGUUUAAUUUUGAGGGAGAGAAGGCUAAUGGAGUGCUUGCUGUGGAUAUUUCCCUUUCUCCUCUUCCUCCUAGGGAAUUCUUCGAUAAUAUCAGAAGAAAUAUGGUUGUCUUGAGUGAUUGAUGCUGCUUUAGAGUAAUAGGCUUUUUUGUGCUGAAACAGUUUUAUUCCUUUUAUGAUGGAAAACUGUUUCUUUUUUAUACUUUCUUCUUUUGUAAAGAUAGAUAUAGAUAUGUCUCAAUUAUAUCUAUAUCCAUUUAAUUUUAAUGGAUAUAUAUGUCUCAAUUAUUAAUUAAAAUUAGAUUGAGGAGAAAUAAAUAAUUUCAAGAUAUUAUUAAUUAGUUCAAAUUAAUGUAUAAUUUUUCAUUUAAAUCUGAUAUGGUUUCUUGUCCAUUUAAUGUUAAUUAUUUAAAUACGAAGAUUCAAUGAAUCUAGAAUAUUAAUUGAUAGAUUUAGAAUACUCAACUAUAUGAAUUACAUAUUUCUCUAUAUAUACAAAGAAAAUUAACCUUGAAAAUAUAUUCUUCAUAAAUAUAAAAUACUAGCUGGGUUCAUAAAAAAUUCUAAAAUCUAAGGUUUAUUUUAUUAAGAAUAUGGACAAUAAAAUGUUAUUGUUAGCACUCAUUUUUGUUCAACUAUUUUUUAAUUCAACCGCAAGUAAUCAAGGUAAAAAAAAACUACUUAGUAGUUUCUUGAUCAUUCAUGUUGAGUUCGUUUGCUGAAAUACAUCUUAUUUCUAUGCAGACGCAAAAUAUAUUAUCAGAAAUAAUGAAGAAAAUCUACCGAUGCUGGAUAUGAAUGGAUGCAUCAUGAAGGAUGAUGACCCAAAUCCUGGAGUUAAUUAUUGUUGUUCAGCAGAUAUUACUAAUUGUUAUACAACCUUAAGUGACUGUUCGGCUGCAUGUAAUCCUCCUAGCAAAGCAUAACAUCUAAGUAUGUUUAUGGUGCCUUUCAAUAAAUGGAAUAAUAAAUUAAAAUCGUUGGAUUAAUCGGUGAUAUCAAAGAGGA